ACAGGGGGUGCAAACGUUGCUCGGAAUUAUUGGGCGUAAAGCGCGCGUAGGCGGCUACUUAUGUCGGAUGUGAAAGCCCUUGGCUCAACUGAGGAAGUGCACCCGAAACUGAGUAGCUGGAGUACGAAAGAGGGUCGCGGAAUUCCCGGUGUAGAGGUGAAAUUCGUAGAUAUCGGGAGGAACACCGGUGGCGAAGGCGGCGACCUGGGUCGAUACUGACGCUGAGGCGCGAAAGCGUGGGGAGCAAACAGGA
rnacentral:rRNA from 1 species